GAUGAACGCUGGCGGCGUGCCUAAUACAUGCAAGUCGAGCGAACAGAUGAGGAGUUUGCUCCUCUGACGUUAGCGGCGGACGGGUGAGUAACACGUGGAUAACCUACCUAUAAGACUGGGAUAACUUCGGGAAACCGGAGCUAAUACCGGAUAAUAUAUUGAACCGCAUGGUUCAAUAGUGAAAGACGGUUUUGCUGUCACUUAUAGAUGGAUCCGCGCCGCAUUAGCUAGUUGGUAAGGUAACGGCUUACCAAGGCAACGAUGCGUAGCCGACCUGAGAGGGUGAUCGGCCACACCGGAAGUGAGACACGGUCCAGACUCCUACGGGAGGCAGCAGUAGGGAAUCUUCCGCAAUGGGCGAAAGCCUGACGGAGCAACGCCGCGUGAGUGAUGAAGGUCUUCGGAUCGUAAAACUCUGUUAUUAGGGAAGAACAAAUGUGUAAGUAACUAUGCACGUCUUGACGGUACCUAAUCAGAAAGCCACGGCUAACUACGUG
rnacentral:rRNA from 1 species